rnacentral:rRNA from 1 species
UACAGAGGGUGCAAGCGUUGCUCGGAUUUACUGGGCGUAAAGCGUACGCAGACGGUAAGGUAGGUCGGGUGUGAAAGCCCUGGGCUCAACCCAGGAACUGCAUCCGAAACCCCCUUGCUAGAGUAUGAGAGAGGGAAGCGGAAUUCCUGGUGUAGAGGUGAAAUUCGUAGAUAUCAGGAGGAACAUCAGCGGCGAAGGCGGCUUCCUGGCUCAUUACUGACGUUCAGGUACGAAAGCGUGGGUAGCAAAC